UGGCGGCCGUAGCGCGGUGGUCCCACCUGACCCCAUGCCGAACUCAGAAGUGAAACGCCGUAGCGCCGAUGGUAGUGUGGGG
rnacentral:rRNA from 1 species